rnacentral:rRNA from 1 species
GACGAACGCUGGCGGCGUGCUUAACACAUGCAAGUCGAACGGAAAGGCCCUGCUUGCAGGGUACUCGAGUGGCGAACGGGUGAGUAACACGUGGGUGAUCUGCCCUGCACUUCGGGAUAAGCCUGGGAAACUGGGUCUAAUACCGGAUAGGAGCCAUUUUUAGUGUGAUGGUUGGAAAGUUUUUUCGGUGUAGGAUGAGCUCGCGGCCUAUCAGCUUGUUGGUGGGGUAAUGGCCUACCAAGGCGGUGACGGGUAGGCGGCCUGAGAGGGUGGACGGCCACAUUGGGACUGGGAAACGGCCCAGACUCCUACGGGAGGCAGCAGUGGGGAAGAUUGCACAAUGGGCGCAAGCCUGAUGCAGCGACGCCGCGUGGGGGAUGACGGCCUUCGGGUUGUAAACUCCUUUCGCUAGGGACGAAGCUUUUUGUGACGGUACCUAGAGAAGAAGCACCGGCUAACUACGUG